rnacentral:rRNA from 1 species
AUUGAACGCUGGCGGCAUGCUUUACACAUGCAAGUCGAACGGUAACAGGCCGCAAGGUGCUGACGAGUGGCGCACGGGUGAGUAAUGCAUCGGAACGUGCCCAGUCGUGGGGGAUAACUACUCGAAAGAGUAGCUAAUACCGCAUACGAUCUAUGGAUGAAAGCGGGGGACCGUAAGGCCUCGCGCGAUUGGAGCGGCCGAUGUCAGAUUAGGUAGUUGGUGGGGUAAAGGCUCACCAAGCCAACGAUCUGUAGCUGGUCUGGGAGGACGACCAGCCACACUGGGACUGAGACACGGCCCAGACUCCUACGGGAGGCAGCAGUGGGGAAUUUUGGACAAUGGGCGCAAGCCUGAUCCAGCAAUGCCGCGUGCAGGAAGAAGGCCUUCGGGUUGUAAACUGCUUUUGUACGGAACGAAACGGCUCUGGUUAAUACCCGGGGCUAAUGACGGUACCGGAAGAAUAAGCACCGGCUAACUACGUG